rnacentral:rRNA from 1 species
GAUGAACGCUAGCGGCAGGCUUAACACAUGCAAGUCGAGGGGUAUAGUUCUUCGGAGCUAGAGACCGGCGCACGGGUGCGUAACGCGUAUGCAAUCUACCUUUUGCAGAGGGAUAGCCCAGAGAAAUUUGGAUUAAUACCUCAUGGUAUGUGAGAAUGGCAUCAUUUUCACAUUAAAGUCACAACGGCAAAAGAUGAGCAUGCGUCCCAUUAGCUAGUUGGUAAGGUAACGGCUUACCAAGGCAACGAUGGGUAGGGGUCCUGAGAGGGAGAUCCCCCCCACUGGUACUGGGACACGGACCAGACUCCUACGGGAGGCAGCAGUGAGGAAUAUUGGACAAUGGGCGCAAGCCUGAUCCAGCCAUGCCGCGUGCAGGAUGACGGUCAUAUGGAUUGUAAACUGCUUUUGUACAGGAAGAAACACUGGUUCGUGAACCAGCUUGACGGUACUGUAAGAAUAAGGAUCGGCUAACUCCGUGCCAGCCGCCGCCGUAACAC